rnacentral:rRNA from 1 species
GCGCACCAGGCGCGAAACCUCCGCAAUGCGGGAAACCGUGACGGGGUCACCCCGAGUGCCACCCGAUGAGGGCGGCUUUUCCCCGGUCUAAAAAGCCGGGGGCAAUAAGCGGGGGGCAAGUCUGGUGUCAGCCGCCGCGGUAAUACCAGCCCCGCGAGUGGUCGGGACGUUUAUUGGGCCUAAAGCGUCCGUAGCCGGCUCGGUAAGUCCCUCCUUAAAUCCACGGGCUCAACCCGUGGGCUGGGAGGGAUACUGCCGGGCUAGGGGGCGGGAGAGGCCGAGGGUACUCCCGGGGUAGGGGCGAAAUCCGUUAAUCCCGGGAGGACCACCAGUGGCGAAGGCGCUCGGCUGGAACGCGCCCGACGGUGAGGGACGAAAGCUGGGGGAGCAAA